GCGGGCCCUCGUCCUCCUUUCCCCUUCCUCCUCGGCGCUCCUGCGCAGCGCGGCGCUCACGCGGCCUCCUCUCACCAUAGGCUCUCUCCUCCUUCCCGCCGCUGCCCCAUCCCCGUGCCGCCGCCUCACCACGCGAGGCGGUGGCAGGCAGCGACGGCGCCACCGGGCUGCGGUGUGGCACCAAGCGCGUGCCCCGGGCGGUGUCCAGCACCGGCCGCUGCGCCGCACGAGCGGGCCCUGCUGGUGGCCGCCGGUGUUGCUGCCCUCCCUCCCGGCGCUGCCUGCUCCCGUAGUUUCACGCCUGAUGCUGUGCUUCGCGAAACCCUAGCUACGGCCACCGGCGUGAUGACUACCCGAUGUCCCGCUCCCCCCGCACGGCCUCCUGUACACCGUCCGCGCGGAUCCAUUUUUCUCUCGAUCCAUCCGCUCACUGAUUUGCUCUGCCUCUCUCCCUCUCACGCUCCUCCCCUCCCCGGGUACUCUAUACAGUGAAUCUGCUAUCUUCAGUCGCAUUGCUCUUCGAUUUGGAGGCAAUUCAACAAGCCAGAGUCAGUUUGACCCUGGCUCUAUUUUUGUCCCACUUUUCUCUUAUCAAUCUACAUGGUUACUACCUUGCAGCAUUUUUUUUCAACGGUUAUUGCCUUGCUGCAUUUUUUUUCUUGCCUUCUAUGCCACCUGCUCUGUUCGGCUGGAUCUUGAGACUACUGCAGUGUCCAUGAUUUUGGUCAUAUGCAAUGAUGAAUACACCUUCCUCUUGCUGCUAGAUUAAUUUGAGAGAAUGGGGUAGUGCUGUGAUGAAUACACAAUAAAUGUGUUUAAUGUUUGAUGCAGUGAUCCUGAGCUAUCGCUCCACAAUUUAUACCUCUUUCUUUUUCUAUAUAAUUGUGGCAUUACUCAUGAACUACAAUGAUUCUUCCUUUCAAACCUAUCUACUGUGUUCAUAACUGAUGUAAUGACCAUGAGCAGUUGUUCAUUUUAUUUUUUCCGUCUCUUUCUACCUAUUCAAUGACAACUGAGGCGAUGGUCAAUUGAUUGGUUCUGUUUUUUUUUCAUGGUUCCUUUUGCACACCGGCAGACCCAGGGCCCGGCGACCCUGUGCACUCGCCCGAGCUCCCUUUGUACGUGCAACAAGCUAAUGCUAGUAUAUUUGAAGCUCUUUUGUGCAUUGGUCACUACUAAAGAGAAGCAAAGCAAGUAGUAGUCAGUACGUGUGUAUUCAAAUCAACACUAGAGACUAGAAAAUUAUAAAAGGAAGACCAGUUACUAGAAUCAUUUCGAAUAACUAGCGGUUCAAACAUGAUCAGUUGUGAUCGCAAUCUUCUUCUACUAGAGAUUGCAAUAGAAUUGUCUUAAGACUGGCCCAGGCUCCUUUCAAUCCCUAGGUCCGCCACUGCUUUUGCAUCUCUCUACUAUAUAACUGUUCAUAGCUGACGCAGUGACAAUCUGCAGUGCUAAUUCUAUUUUUUACAGCUCUUUCUGCCUCUUCCAUGAUAACUGAGGCAAUGGUCAGUUGGUUGCUUCCAUCUCUUCCGUCUCUUUGUACCUAUUCUAUUUUAUGUACUUUGGAGACUUUCUAUUUCUUCCAUGAUAACUAAAACAAUGGUCAAUUUAUUGGUUUCAUUUUUUCCCCUCUGUUUGUACCUAUUCUAUUUUGUGUACUCUGGAGCCACCAAUGGGACCUACUAUUUAUUGGGGUCAUCUCUUAAUUAUGAAAUUUCAGUUCGCAGGAGCCCGAACUGAAAUUUACAACUUCUGAUGUCAUUGUUUCUUAUGGUUUCUCCCUUUGCCUAAUAUAAUCAUUGCUUUUGCUUUUGCACUCAUACUUGCUUAUGAUGUUGCUUGUGAUGUCAAUUGCAUAAUUAAUAUAAUUGUGCAAUCUGAGCUUCUGCUUAUUGCCUGUGAAGUGAUAGAUAUGUUCUCCUUGAUCCUAGGCUUCUGAUCAUUUUCUAUGAUCAUUGCUUAUGACAUCAGCUCAUACACUGUUGGUUCUGAGCACACGCCCUAUCCCCAGAGAAAGCGUUGUCAAACACUUUGCCUGUCUAUGAUGACUUUUGCUUUUCCUGUUUCUUUCUUGCUGCAACUAUGUCCACAUCUGAUAUAGUUUCAGCUUAACAGAAUCAGUCUUUUAUAAUUUCCUGCUAGUUUCAUUAACUUUCUAAUACCAAUAUUAACUAUAGAUAACAUAUCCGUACAAAGUAUCUCAUUUAUCAACUUUGUGGAGAUUGAUUCUAAUGUGUUUUGGGGGCUAUUGUUGCAGUGGCAACAUUUCGAGCCCAAAAAAAUAAUGCUGGCUGUACCAGUUCAAGGUUGCGCAUUAUUGCCUCUGCUGCUUCCUACUAUAUAGAUUCAUCGACCGUGAGGCUUGCUGCUUUACAUAUUUGGCUGUUUGAGACCAAAUACAUUGCGCUGUCAUUGCUAUGCUACAAAUGAGAAUUUUAAAUUCAAUAGAAAGAUUAUGGAUUAUAUUUGUCAUGUAAAUAAUAGUAUGUUGCCUAAGUCAAAUCUAUAUUGUACAGGCUGUCGCAUGGUCUCUUUUACUAAUCUAUGAACUUUACCCAUAAAGGGCAGCAUCCAAUUGCUUUUUAAUCUAAAAUUAAAGCUUUUUUUUUCCUAAACUAAGCUUGCUUAGUUGGAUAGUUAGGAUGCAGUGCCAUAUCUAGGCUUGCUAGGGUGAGUACUCUCCUUUCUUUCAUAUCGCCAUAUCUAGAUUUUUUAUUCUUCAUGAUGCAUACAGUUUAGCUACAUGUACAGCUCUGGUUGCCUAGAAAUGACAUGUUAUAUUUUUUUGAUCCCAUUAAUUCAUCUCUAGCAUUGUGCUGGCUUUGCAAAGAAUAAUCCCUCCUGUGCUCUGGAUGAAUUGUAAAGGUAGUAGAUCUUUUUAAAUCCCGUGAGCAGAAGGGAUAUUAAUAUCUUCCUGAUUCGUCAUCGUGGAUCUGCCCAAAACUCCUUUGAUUGAACAAUCAGUUCACGGCUCCGUACCUUCUCCUCUAUCAGAUAGUUUACUCACCCUAGAGAAGCAGGAUUAGAAUCAUGUAGGGGAGCAGCAACUUUGGAACCAUCCAUGUUGGCAUAUCCGGAAGCGUGGUGAGGGACAUGGGAGUAUUUGCCUCUCUGUUUUGGUAUCUUAUAUGCUUCAACUCUGUCAUCCAUCUGCCCAUCUGCAUCUAAAGACAGCUAUGGCUUGCAUGUUCUGAUCAAAGACUCGAAGAACCCAUCCAAACAAAGCAGAGGGUUUUAAACGAAUUGUGGCAAUGUUCUAGUGCUCUAUACUGUGCCGAGCUGCUCUACAAGACUACAACAGUUGGAAGGCUGCUAGAAAGCUACUUGACUCAACAACUGCCGGGAAGUUUUUCCAACGACAAGCAUAUCUCCCACUAUUUAUCAUAAAAAACAAACAGCAUCACCAUGUUGCAGGAGGGCGAUCUAAUCACCGCAUUAUAUUCUACAACCACCAGAAGCUCCAAAGAAUUAGAGAUGUUAUGUAACUUACUAUCCGCUAUAACAUUUAUAUGUCCCCGCUAUAACAUUUAUAUGUCCAAGAACAUUGUACCCAGCUUACUUUUGCCUUCAUCCGACAUCAAAGUAAUGCCUACAUAUGUAAUUUAUUAGUACAUAAUAAAUUACAAAUAAAUGCUAA